GCCCAAGUAGCUCAGUUGGUAGAGCAUGAGACUUGUCAUCUCAGGGUUGUGGGUUUGAGCCUCAUGUUGGGCA